rnacentral:rRNA from 1 species
CCUACGGGUGGCAGCAGUGAGGAAUAUUGGUCAAUGGGCUUACGCCUGAACCAGCCAAGUCGCGUGAGGGAAGACUGCCCUAUGGGUUGUAAACCUCUUUUGUCAGGGAGCAAUUGGCGCUACGUGUAGCGUUAUCGAGAUUACCUGCAGAAAAAGAAUCGGCUAACUCCGUGCCAUCAGCCGCGUUAAUACGGAGGAUGCGAGCGUUAUCCGGAAUUCCUGGGUGUAAAGGGGGCGUAGACGGCGAGGUAAGCCUGAAGGUGAAACCAGCGGUCAAACCGCGGAACUGCUUUGGGAACUGUUUUGCGUGAGGAUGCGAGAGGUAAGCGGAAUUCCUGGUGUAGCGGUGAAAUGCGUAGAUAUCAGGAGGAACACCGGUGGCGAAGGCGGCUUACUGGACCAUAACUGACGUUGAGGCUCGAAAGCGUGGGGAGCGAACAGGAUUAGAUACCCUAGUAGUC